rnacentral:lncRNA from 1 species
CCAGUGGAGAAAUGCCACAGAGUACAGUGGAGACCAACAAAGAUACUGGUUGAUCUUGCAACAUGGUUACAGUACACACUUUUAAAUACAACAAAACAAACUGGGUAUCAACAAGCUUCCAAGCUGAGGGUUGAACACUUCCUCACUUGCGCCACUGCACAAACCCUUUUGCGCAGAUGAUGUUGGCUUUUCAAUAUAGAAUUGAAAGGGAAGUGCCCCAUCGGCAGGAAAAGCACUGAGACGGUUCAGACAAAUUCAGGGCCGUCACAACACACACACACAGAGCCGUAUCCUUCCCCCGCUUAACCACAUCAUCCAUCAGCUAUGCCUGAGCUGGUUUGCCUCUCAAUCUCACUCUAAUCAGCCCGGCUGCAGUGUUGAUGUGGGGUCAAGAAGAUGCCACUCCUGGAUUCCGUUCCGUUGCCUAGGAGUGCUGAGACCAUAUCUAUCUCUCCACAGAGCUAGCGCAGCACACAGCAUGCACAAACAAAAGACACCCCGCGUCGCCUUGGCAACUAUCAAGAGGUGUUGUCUCUGAAUGGAUUCACUUUUCCCUGUUUUUCUAUUUUCCUUUCACCAGCUUCAUGUGUCAGCUCUAAUCAAUAGCAGGAGCUGUCUUUGUUUGGCUCGUAGCCGACUGACUGAUUUGGGAGCUGCUCCCCAAUGGGCUCAGGAGAAGCGAAGCUCGAGUCAUGCAUCCUCCGAAACAUGGCACGCCAAACCACACUACUUAACACCUGCCCGCUUAACCCGGAAGCCAGCUGCACUAAUGUGCCGGAGGAAACACUGUUCAACUGACGACCAGCGUCAGCCUUCAGGUGCCUGGCCCACCACAAGGAGUCACUGGAGCACAAUGAGUCAAGUAAAGCCCCCCCUCGGCCAAACCCUCCCCUAACCCAGACGACGCUGAGCAAAUUGUGCUCCUCCCUAUGGGACUCCCGGUCACGGCCGGUUGUGACACAGCUUGGGAUCGAACCCAGGUCUGUAGUGACGCCUCAAGCACUCAGUGACGCCUAGUGUAGUAACGCCUCAGUGCCUUAGAUCGCUGCGCCACUCAGGAGGCCCCGGAAGUGGUAUGUUUUAAGCAAAAGCACAAACACAAAUGUAUUAUUCAAACAUGUUGAUCGUGUUGAACAGAUUUUUCCCUUCCUCCACAUUGGUACUACUGAAGGCUCUUCCUCUAUGAUCUAUAUGUUUACUGGAACAAGACCAACUAUUCAGGCUCCGGUCAGAAAGCCUUUCAUGAAGUAUAAAGUUAACACAGACCUCAGAGCCCCAAACAAACCAACAGCUUGCUGUUUGUUGCUUUCAUAUUUUCAUUAUUGUGUUUCUUUAUGCCCCCAAAGCUGUCGCUGCCAGUGUUUUUGUGCUUUCAUUUUUGUUAAUACUUUUUCUGUCAACUUUUUGAUGUUAGAAAUGUCUUUGUGUUUGAAAUUGCAGUGACUUGAUGUGGCUUGCCUUGAUGUAAUAUUUGGGGAAGGGAGGGGGGCGGGGAGGGGAGGUGUGUUGCCUGUGUACCUUUGUUGUAAAUAAUUUGUUUGGGAUACUAGCUGAGGGUUAUACUACAAAGUAGGAUCAAUGAGUUAGCCAGCUAGCUUUGAUAAGCAAAUACAAAUAACUACUCAUUUUGUGGUUCAUUAGGAAAGCUAAACUUUGUUUUUUGGUUAGUUGGGUCAAUCAGACCAUUAAUAUUUCAAGCUUAUCUUUAUAAAAAAUGUUAUUUCAUAAUAUUUAGUUAACUGGCUUAGUUGUUGAUCUUGCUUUGUAGUAAACCCUUCUGAAGGAACCGGGGAGCUCUGCUAUUCUCUCUCUCUCUCGCUCUCUCUCUCUAUCUCUAUCGUUUCCCCCUCUCCUCUCCUUUGCUCAAUCCUCUUGUUCAGCAGAGUUUAAUCUUGAACAUUGUCACGGGCAAAAAGGCAAACACAUCCUUCUCCCUUCUGCCACCCCUCCCUCCUCAGAAUUGACACUCAUUGAUUUUCCACAAGUUGCUUUAGAUUGGCACACAAAUCAGGCUCUUUAAUUCAGACUGGGCUCGGUCGCGUAGCCGUGAGCGGUUAGUGGCUUUAUUUAUGGGCCACACACACAAACACAGCCCUCUAUCCUCUUCUCCUCCCCUGUCUUUGGUUGAUAACAGGCACCCAGCACCCAGAGUUGUAGUUGAUUUACAGGGUGAUUGAUUGCAUGCAGGGAUUGAGGAAGUCUAGCAAGCGGAGAUUCCUUUAUCCACUCAAUGUGUCCGUCUCUAAUUAAGGGGUGUUCUACAUCUCUCUCUCUCUGUCAUCUACUGUGCCAUCAGAAAGUCACUGGUUUUACACAAAAUACCCAAUAGUGUCAAAGUGGAAUUAUGUUUUUAGAAAUGUUUAGAAAUGAAUAAAAAAUGAAAAGCUGAAAUUCCUUGAGUCAAUAAGUAUUCCAUCCCUUUGUUAUGGCAAGCCUAAAUAAGUUUAGGAGUAAAAUUGUGCUUAACC